rnacentral:rRNA from 1 species
GACGAACGCUGGCGGCGUGCUUAACACAUGCAAGUCGAACGGGCCUGUCUUCUUUUUUGGGGGUGGGUUGAGUGGCGAACGGGUGAGUAUCACGUGAGUAACCUGCCCUUCGGUCCUGGAUAACCGCUUGAAAGGGCGGCUAAUACGGGGUGGUCCGGUUGGUCCGCAUGGGCUGGUCGGGAUAGAUUCACUGUUUUUGGUGUUUUGGCGGGGGAUGGGCUCGCGGCCUAUCAGCUUGUUGGUGGGGUGAUGGCCUACCAAGGCGGUGACGGGUAGCCGGCCUGAGAGGGUGGGCGGCCACACUGGGACUGAGAUACGGCCCAGACUCCUGCGGGAGGCAGCAGUGGGGGGUAUUGCACAAUGGGCGGAAGCCUGAUGCAGCGACGUCGCGUGAGGGAUGGAGGCCUUCGGGUUGUGAACCUCUGUUUCCGGUGGUGAAGGCCCUGUCCGUGUGGUGGGGUUGACGGUAGCCGGGGAUGAAGCGCCGGCUAACUACGUG